GGUUGUCGUCAGCUCGUGUCGUGAGAUGUUGGGUUAAGUCCCGCAACGAGCGCAACCCCUAUUGUUAGUUGCCAUCAUUCAGUUGGGCACUCUAGCGAGACUGCCGGUAAUAAACCGGAGGAAGGUGGGGAUGACGUCAAAUCAUCAUGCCCCUUAUGACCUGGGCUACACACGUGCUACAAUGGUUGGUACAACGAGUUGCGAGUCGGUGACGGCGAGCUAAUCUCUUAAAGCCGAUCUCAGUUCGGAUUGUAGGCUGCAACUCGCCUACAUGAAGUCGGAAUCGCUAGUAAUCGCGGAUCAGCACGCCGCGGUGAAUACGUUCCCGGGCCUU
rnacentral:rRNA from 1 species